UACAGAGGGUGCGAGCGUUAAUCGGAAUUACUGGGCGUAAAGCGUGCGUAGACGGCUAUCUAAGUCGGGUGUGAAAGCCCCGGGCUCAACCUGGGAAUUGCAUUCGAGACUGAAUAGCUAGGGUGCGGUAGAGGGAAGCGGAAUUUCCGGUGUAGCGGUGAAAUGCGUAGAUAAUCGGAAGGAACAUCAGUGGCGAAAGCGGCUUCCUGGAC
rnacentral:rRNA from 1 species